UCAAACUUGGUCAUUUAGAGGAAGUAAAAGUCGUAACAAGGUAACCGUAGGUGAACCUGCGGUUGGAUCAUUAAUAAAUUUAAUAAGAAAAUUUUGCUUUUUUUUAAAGCAUUUUUCUUUUAACAUUUUGUGAACGGUUUACUGUCUCUUGGGUAGCAUUUAGUUUCCUUAAUAAGUAAGCGAGAUCUACCCAACAUUAUACUUGAAACUUUAUUGAAAUUUUUAAGUCUUAAAAUUAUUUUUUAAAAAAAAUUAAAAAACAACUUUUGACAACGGAUCUCUAGGCUCUCGCAUCGAUGAAGAACGCAGC
rnacentral:misc_RNA from 1 species